AAUUCUCAACCUUAUCAGUUUUGUAACGAGACUGUAUGAGGCUUGGAUGUGGGGGUUUGUGCAGGCUGCCUCAGUGCGGUCUGCUCCCCUGAAAUGCAUUAGCGAGUUCAAACUGGGCUCCGUCUAUUGGUGUGAUAAUUAUCUACGCCGUGGAUUGGGCUUAGACUUGCUUCUAACCGUCUGCAAGGACAAUAUUUUGACA
rnacentral:misc_RNA from 1 species